AACCCACCAGGAUACAAAACCUGACUGCAUUUAUAUUAUGUCAUGAAAAUAUACAUACACUUACACACUUUUUUAAACAGUUCAAUGAACUGAAGUGUAAGUAGGGGGUAGGAGAUCAGGCCAAAUGUACUUCUUUAGCAGGUGCUGAUUUAGAGCAGUCUAUGACAAUCUAAAGAUAAAUACAAUCUUCUACCAGAUAUACAGAGGAGGCUCAGGUGAAGAGAGAUAGAACUGACUCUGGUGAGUUAGCAAGUAUCCGACUCCCCAUAGCAGAAAAGAGCAAUUUAUAACUAGGCCUGAGCUAAAGAGAUCCCCUGUGACCAGAGAGGUGAGACUGGAAGUACAUCAAAAAGUACUGAGCUGUCCAGACAUGGGAUGCCAGAGAACAUAGAGAUAGGGGUGAACAACAAAGAGAUUCCACGCACCUCAGUACAUUACCAAGUGAUUAUCAUGCAAGUGAACAUCUGGUGAGACAUUUGACACAGUAGGCGUAUAGAAGACUUGACUGUGAGCCAGCUACCUAAAGUUUUGCUGGCAUCUGGAGCUGAACAGAAAAUAAAUAUCAGUUUUUCAUUAUAUUUAAUUUCUCAAAUUUGAAGAAGUAUCUUAUGGGACAAAAACUGCUCUAAUUCAGUCCAGCUUGCUAAGCAGAACCCUUCCACAUUGUUGCAUACAUACAUGUAGACGAGCCUCAGGUAGGUCAGGUUCUCAGUAUGAAUAUUUGAAGUGAGCAGUGAGUUAGCAAAUGAAUGUCACAUUAGCCGGCGCAAAUCUGAACGCCUCAUAAGGUACAGAGCUGAUUUUAUAGUUGAAGGUCACAUAAACUGGGAUACAUUCUGUAGCUUGCAAUAUAUUUCUUGAGACAACUAGUUAAAACAUAACAAAUAUUUGCAAGUUUUUUCCUCAAAAUCUGCUAUGCUUUAACUUUCAUGGUACCUAGAGUUUAAAUUUAGAUAUGGCUGCUUCUGUGGAUUUUGGAGGCUGAAAUUUUUUUUACUCUUGAUUUCAUUCUUUUAAUUACAUUUGUGUCUUUUCUUUCCUUGGCAGUAUUACAAUUAUUUGUCUUAACAUUAUCUAUGCUCAGCUAGCCUUUGCUUGUAAUGUAUUCUUCUGUAAAUAAAGUGUAAAACCAAACACGCAAUUCAGUAAUUCAAGGACUCACUUUGGAAACAUUACUAUGGCACACAACAAGAAUUGUUCAUUAAGGAGAAUUUUUGUAGGAUUUGGCUUGUUUCCUAAGUUUUUAAAAGCAAUAAAGAUGAUUUUCUUUCUUUUCCCACUUUGUCCAUUCCGAUUAGUUCUUUAACGUUUGUAUGGAAUAGCAUAAUAACUUACUGGUCAAGUAAUGAUCCGCCUGGUACCUCCUUUCCCACAUGCUGUAGCAGAUGCUCUGCGUAAAAUGAAAAACAACUACAGUCUGAUCUUCCACUCAGUAUACACUCUCAGAUCACACCUAUUAUUGUCAUAACCUAGUCCUCUUUACUUAGAAGGUCUAGUAGUUCCAGUAAUUCAGUCUACUUAUUUAUAAACUCUUUUACAUAUUUGGUCAACAUGACAACAUCCUACAGUGAGUUCCAGAGUUUGUCUAUUUGUAUUUAUCUUUCAGAAAAGUUACAGUGACUUCAAGAGACAUGCUGUCUCUUUUCAUAACCGUAACAGCUUCAUCUCCAGUGUAGGUGGGUCUGUGUUAAGGUUUCUACGUAGCACUUCUUGCACAAAGGGCAUCAACUACUUUGUCUUUGCUAAUGAAUUAGCCAGAACCUACACUUCUCUUUGAACUUUGAUUCUGCACCCAUUUUUGUAACUCUGAUCAUAGCAGUUACCAGGAGUCGAAUUCAAGACUCUAAAAUUCAUAUUUAUUUUUUAUCAUUUUCAGAGCAAACAACUCGUUUUCAAAAAGAACUUUUAAUUUGUGAAUCUCCCUUAGACUUACAGUAUAUAUGAAAUAGAUUCAAUAUUUCAGUUCACGAAAAGAAUAUUGCUGAAUGUGUUUCCAUGACACCAGAUAAGUGUCCUUUCCUUUCCGUUUCUAAAUACAAAGGAUUUGCCUUCAGGUUAUUGAAGUUUAUGUGAUGCACUCAGGAUGAAAUCUUAUGAAUUGGUGUAAAAUGACUUGAAACAGAAGCCAGCACAGUUUCCAGGUAGGAAACCUGUGACUUACUUAUAAUAGAAACAGGUUCGGUAGAUUGGCUGGAUAUAAUCUGUCUUGAUUUUACAGUGCUUGGGAGUACCUUUCAUGGAAAAUCUUCGAAGAAAAUGUAUAGGCAUGGAAUGGAAACUGGAAGUGUUGUAACAAAUAAAACUAGACAGCAAAAGACAGAUUGAGCCACGGGAAUGAAGAGCUAGAUUUCAACACUGCAAAGCAUAGGGUCCUCAUCAUGAAGUAGUUGUUAGUUAGGACAUAUCUGUUAAGGAUAAACCAAGUUUGAGUCAUUGCUUUGAAAUAUAAAUGUCAAGCUGUGUGAAAAAAAUAUAUAGAAAAGGUAUAUUCUCCACCAAAUUAUUUUGCUGUUUUCUUUAACCAGAAAAUGAACUUCAGAAAAGUUUGCAAAUAAGUCCGGGAACUGGUUCAUAAAACCUGUUUCUUAGAAAUGAGUCUUUUCAUCUUCUGACAGGCUUUUAUCCCCACUCAAUUCAGUAAUAAAAUAACUCCAACUCUU
ensembl:lncRNA